GACGAACGCUGGCGGCGUGCUUAACACAUGCCAGUCGAACGGAAAGGCUCUGCUUUUGUGUGGUGCUCGAGGGGCGAACGGGUGAGUAACACGAGAGUAGCCUGCCCUUGACUUUGGGAUAACUUCACGGAACUGGGGCUAAUACCAGAUAGGGGCUCCUGCUGCAUGGUGGGGGUUGGAAAGUUUCGGCGGCUGGGGAUGGAGUCGCGGCUUGUGGGGUUUGUGGUGGGGUAGUGGCUUACCAAGGCUUGGACGGGUGGCCGGCCUGAGAGGGUGGACGGCCACAUCGGGCUUGAGAGACGGCCCAGACUCCUACGGGAGGCAGCAGUGGGGAAUAUUGCACACUGGGCGGAAGCGUGAGGCAGCAACGCCGCGUGCGGGAUGACGGCCUUCGGGUGGGAAACCGCUUUCGCCUGUGACGAUGCGUGAGUGACGGUAAUGGGUAAAGAAGCACCGGCUAACUACGUG
rnacentral:rRNA from 1 species